rnacentral:rRNA from 1 species
GCAAGUCGAGCGGUAACAUUUCUAGCUUGCUAGAAGAUGACGAGCGGCGGACGGGUGAGUAAUGCUUGGGAACAUGCCUUGAGGUGGGGGACAACAGUUGGAAACGACUGCUAAUACCGCAUAAUGUCUACGGACCAAAGGGGGGGAUCUUCGGACCUCUCGCCAUUUGAUUAGCCCAAGUGAGAUUAGCUAGUAGGUGAGGUAAGAGCUCACCUAGGCGACGAUCCCUAGCUGGUUUGAGAGGAUGAUC